CUGGUAUGUACUAGCCUGCCGAUUCCUCCUUCUUGUAGAACCGUAAUGCCAUUAAUUUGGUGUUGCGGGGAAACAGGACUGUUACUUUGAAAAAAUUAGAGUGUUUAAAGCAGGCUAGCGCCUGAAUACAUUAGCAUGGAAUAAUGAAAUAGGACGUUCGAACCUAUUUUGUUGGUUUCUAGGAUUGACGUAAUGAUUAAUAGGGAUAGUUGGGGGCAUUAGUAUUCAAUUGUCAGAGGUGAAAUCCUUGGAUUUAUUGAAGACUGACUACUGCGAAAGCAUUUGCCAAGGAUGUUUUCAUUAAUCAAGAACGAAAGUUAGGGGAUCGAAGACGAUCAGAUACCGUCGUAGUCUUAACCAUAAACUAUGCCGACUAGGGAUCGGAUGAUGUUAAUUUUUUAAUGACUCAUUCGGCGCCUUACG
rnacentral:rRNA from 1 species